GAGAGGAAGAUCCCCCACACUGGCACUGAGAUACGGGCCAGACUCCUACGGGAGGCAGCAGUAAGGAAUAUUGGUAAAUGGGCGAAAGCCUGAACCAGCCAUGCCGCGUGCAGGAAGACAGCCUUCUGGGUAGUAAACUGCUUUUAUCAGGGAACAAAUAUGCCAUGAGUGGCAAGCUGAGUGUACCUGAAGAAUAAGCACCGGCUAACUCCGUGCCAGCAGCCGCGGUAAUA
rnacentral:rRNA from 1 species